UGACCUCUAUUGAUUUAGGGGUCAUUAGGUCAAAGGUCAAUGUCACAUUGGCCUUAAAUGUCAAAAUGGUUUUCGUUGAUUUUUCCAUAAUUGAACACUUCCAUGUAGCCAUUUUCGGCAAGUUUUUGUAAUAAAAUUACCAAUUAUGUGAGUCAAUGGCUAGAAAGGCGGUAUAUGUGUCGUUCGACAUUCUUGUUUUCAUUAAUUUUUGGUACUUAAAUAUGAUUUUAUUGAAUAUAAAAGUCAGUAAAUCCCCUUUUUCAAUAUCUUUAAAAAAAGUAAUUUAUAAAAAUAUUGGAAGCACAUGGGUUCGUAAAGGUCAAUCUCGUAAUCACGUGGUUAAACAUUUUGGCAAUAUGGCGGCCAAGUGCUUACCUGUCGGAAACUAUAAGGUAGUUUAUGUUCGUAAUAAGAUUUUUAUUUGUCCAUCCUUGGCUUAUCAACAGAUUAUAUAUAGUUUUAUCAAGGUAUGCUUCACUUUACUUCAUGGCAUGUUCGAUGGAUGAAUACGAGCGUGUCAGAUUCCUGGCACGAUUAUUGGUGGACUUUCCCUACGGGGUUGUCUUCAGCGUUCACGUCAUGUCAAACUAUAUAAACGGGACCCUCGAAGACCUUAAGCUAACACUGUCAUAGUUGUGAGUAGUGGUUAAAGGAAGAACUUAACAUACCGAAACUCGCACCUUGUACUUCUGAAUAUGCAACUGUGAAGAAAGUCCACUGUUGAAAAGACAUCACUAGAGGAACAAGAACUUCAAAUUUCUGCGUUGAAACAGUGCAAGAAAUGAAGCUGGUAGUGACCAAAUUUAUGAAGAUAUGCCAGGGUUGGAUCAUAAUGAUAUUCAUGAACCA